UACAGAGGUGGCAAGCGUUGUUCGGAAUUACUGGGCGUAAAGCGUGCGCAGGCGGUUCGCAAAGUCUGAUGUGAAAGCCCCGGGCUCAACCUGGGAACUGCAUUGGAAACUAACGGGCUCGAGUGUGGCAGAGGGGGGUGGAAUUCCGCGUGUAGCAGUGAAAUGCGUAGAGAUGCGGAGGAACACCGAUGGCGAAGGCAGCACCCUGGGCCAACACUGACGCUCAGGCACGAAAGCGUGGGGAGCAAGCAGG
rnacentral:rRNA from 1 species